ensembl:lncRNA
GAGGAAACAAUUAUAUACCAUUUAUAUAAACCUAUAUGGAUUCAUAUUAAACCAAGGGUGCACCCACAGGUACUGCAGAGAAAUAUAAAGGUUGAGAUUAGGGAAGAUUCAAGGGCAUUAAUGGAAAACCAAAAAACUUUUACACGUGUCUACAUGAUCUCACUAUAGGAUACGAAGGUGCCUUUAUGGCUUCUUGAAUGAAUUUAGAUAAAAGAUGACCACAUAAUAAGAAGGAUGAUUUUUCUUACUAGUCUGUUUGAUACUCUGAGUAACAAUCAAAAAUAAUUUUCAGACUGCCUAUAUGUGAGACCUCACUAUGAUGGCUGAGGACAGCAGAGAAUCCUCUUUGGAAACAGAAAAGGAUAGCAGGGGACAGAGAGUAGUGAAGACCUCCGAAGAAGAGAAAAAAGCUAACAACCCUAGAAAUAUUUUUGACCCUGCAGAACUCUGCCACAAUACAGGGUGAUACUCCAAACCCCAAACACCAUCACAUUGGAUUGUGUCCCUGACUCAGACCUGCAGUUACUUUACCCUACUUGUGGACCAAGACAGACGAUCAAGUAAAGAAGUAAUGGGGAGCCUUUGAGGCAGCAUAUUUAGUGGAAUAAGAGGGCCGACUACCUCCACACAAAAGUUUAGUUUGAAAUAACUGUCACCACAAAGGCUGCCAUGCAUUGGGACUGAGGUCAUAACAAAGAGGUUUAUUUAAAUCUGGAAGCAUUACUAUUUUCCACAGCCUAAGAUGUUGGUUGCCAUCGUAUAAAUCCUCCUUUCUAAUAAAAAAUGACAUUUCAGAACCAAAUAGUGCUAUACACAUGAAUAGUCAGAACUUAAGUGGUUUAUGGGCAGAGUAAUGAAAGCGAGUUUUAUCAGAAAAGUGAAUUUCGAGUUGUGUCUCCUGUCUGUGUUCUUUUAUCAUCCUCCAGUCCACCCACAAAUGAAUUAUCAGGCACGAACUCGGAGGCACGUAUCCAUGAAAGUCCCAAUUCGAAUGCCCUGGAGGGAGUCACCAUUGAGAGAAGCCCCAAUGACCAGUGAGUUAUAAAAGAUGUACACAUGGCCAGGUGCAGUGGUUCACACCUAUAAUCUGAGCACUUUGGGAGGCCAAGGCAGGCAGAUACCCUGAGGUCAGGAGUUCAAGACCAGGCUGGCAAACAUAGUGAAACCUUGUCUCUACUAAAAUUUCAACAACUAGCCAGCUGUGGUGGCAGGCGCCUCUAAUCCCAGCUGCUCGGGAGGCUGAGGCAGGAGAAUCGCUUGACAUGGGAAGGUGCACGUUCCAGUGAGCUGAGACCAUGCCACUGCAUUCCACUCUGGGCAGCAGGAGCAAAACUUUGUCACACACAAAAAAAAGUACACACACACACACAAUAGUGACAGAGAAAGAGACUGAGAUUAGUGGGACUCACUGUCAGAAGUGCUCACAAUAAUAGAGAAUGUCUUUGACACAGUUUCUUUAUCAUCUCACUGUAUCAUAUAUACACAACUUCCACAUUUUUACAGUUGUUUAGGAAAAAAGAAACAGAUUAUAGAGAGAGGCUUCUGUCUGUUAUUGUCUUUUCACCAUUUGUUAGUAGCAGUCAAAUGCCUUG